CCCUUAACUAUUAAAAGUUUCGUUUUGGUCCCUUAACUUAUUUUUUGGUUUCGUUUUGGUCCCUUAACUUAUUUUUUGGUUUCAUUUUGGUCCCUUAACUCUAAUACAUUCAUCCUAACAUAAAGGACCAAAGUAGUUGACGGAGGAAGAGUUAAGGGACCAAAACGAAACCAAAAAGUAAGUUAAAGGACCAAAACGAAACUUUUAAUAGUUAAGGGACCAAAACGAAACCUAAAAGUAAGUUAAGGGACCAAAACGAAACUUUUAAUAGUUAAGGGA
rfam:Medicago truncatula strain A17 chromosome 5, whole genome shotgun sequence.